CCUAGUACAGGUGUAUCACCCCCUCCUGCCUGCAGCACCUAGUACAGGUGUAUCACCCUCCUGCCUGUAGCACCUAGUACAGGUGCUUGUGCGGUCGGUGAACAUUCCCCAUCAGUGUGUGCCAUGUAAUGUGAAGCAGCAGAGAUAAUAUACUUAGAUUUAGUUGUAUGAACAUGUUUGCCGAUUAGUGUAUGGAUGUAUCAUGUUCGGAAAUGAUGGGUACUUAAUAUCAUGACACAAUUGAGUAGAUGGAAGCAUGCUAUUUUUGUGUAAACAAUUAGUUAGAGCAAUGUGUAAAUUUCGAAUAUCACUUCACAACUUUCGAAAUUUACACAUCGCUCUAACUAAUUGUUUGUCUCAUGUUACAGUUAUAUAUAAUUCAACAUUAUCCGUAAAAGGCCAACGAUGACACCGUUAAAUAAUCCUCAUACAGAAUCUGUAUGUAGAAACCGUGACCUUCAUUUGGUGGAAGAUAAAUACCAUGUCUGUUUUGUAUGUAAGAAAUGUACACACUUAACACACAGUUUUCUUACUUCGUUACAGAAAUAUUUUAUAAUGGUAGAAUUAUGUUCGAAAAUUUAUUUAACUCCUGUGGUUGUACUGCGCACAAUAGCUUUAUAUUACUGCAAGUUGUUCAACAUUUGAUCGACAGCUAUUUAACACUCUGGAUAUGUGACCUAAAUAUACUUUAUCUUUCAACUGCACUAUGGGCCAUGUGGCCUGAAUUACGAAAUAAACUUGAUUGAUGAUGAA